rnacentral:rRNA from 1 species
UACGAAGGGUGCAAGCGUUACUCGGAAUUACUGGGCGUAAAGCGUGCGUAGGUGGUUCGUUAAGUCUGUCGUGAAAGCCCCGGGCUCAACCUGGGAAUGGCGAUGGAUACUGGCGAGCUAGAGUGCGGUAGAGGAGAGUGGAAUUCCCGGUGUAGCAGUGAAAUGCGUAGAGAUCGGGAGGAACAUCAGAGGUGAAGACGGGUUGCUGGGCUGACACUGACGCUGAGGCGCGAAAGCCAGGGGAGCAAACGGG